AUUGAACGCUGGCGGCAGGCUUAACACAUGCAAGUCGAGCGGGGGAAGGUAGCUUGCUACCGGACCUAGCGGCGGACGGGUGAGUAAUGCUUAGGAAUCUGCCUAUUAGUGGGGGACAACAUCUCGAAAGGGAUGCUAAUACCGCAUACGUCCUACGGGAGAAAGCAGGGGAUCUUCGGACCUUGCGCUAAUAGGUGAGCCUAAGUCGGAUUAGCUAGUUGGUGGGGUAAAGGCCUACCAAGGCGACGAUCUGUAGCGGGUCUGAGAGGAUGAUCCGCCACACGGGGACUGAGACACGGCCCAGACGCCUACGGGAGGCAGCAGUGGGGAAUAUUGGACAAUGGGGGGAACCCUGAUCCAGCCAUGCCGCGUGUGUGAAGAAGGCCUUAUGGUUGUAAAGCACUUUAAGCGAGGAGGAGGCUACUUUAGUUAAUACCUAGAGAUAGUGGACGUUACUCGCAGAAUAAGCACCGGCUAACUCUGUGCCAGCCGCCGCCGUAA
rnacentral:rRNA from 1 species